rnacentral:lncRNA from 1 species
CAAAGAAGGAGGCCAACCAAUACCCAAGCACAUUUUUGAGGUUAUUGUCUAUUUGGUAAUUUCAAUCAUAUUUAAAUUUUUUAUGCUUGUUUUCAACUCAAUUGUUAAAAAAAUUACAAAUUUUGAGUUUAAAUCAAUAGUUCAUUCAUUAAUUAUUAAUGUUUAAAACUAUUGUAGGAAUUACUAGGAUUUGGUUAGGAUUUGAUUUAAAAUUAGGAUUUGAUUAGGAUUUGAUUUAGGAUUUAUAAUUUAUUAGAAUUUUUUUAAGAUUUGAGAUUUAGUUAGUUUUUGGCCUAAAGUUUAAAUGAAGUCCAAUAGGAUUUUAACUAGGAUUAAAUAUAGAUUGAAUUGAGAUGUAUUUGAGAUAUAUUUGUGAUCAAUCUAAUAUUUCUUUAAGAUUUCUUAUUAUUUCUUUGUAAUUCCUUUGAAGUUUCUUUGAAUUUGAAUAAAAAUUGCUUAAUAUUAUUAUGGUCUAAUUAGAAUUUAAUUAAUGUUCUAUUAGAAUUAGGAUUUUGCUGUUGUAAUUUUCAUUCUA